rnacentral:rRNA from 1 species
CUUGUACAGGAUAGGUAGGAGCCUUUGAAACGUGAGCGCUAGCUUACGUGGAGGCGCUGGUGGGAUACUACCCUAGCUGUGUUGGCUUUCUAACCCGCACCACUUAUCGUGGUGGGAGACAGUGUCAGGCGGGCAGUUUGACUGGGGCGGUCGCCUCCUAAAAGGUAACGGAGGCGCUCAAAGGUUCCCUCAGAAUGGUUGGAAAUCAUUCAUAGAGUGUAAAGGCAUAAGGGAGCUUGACUGCGAGACCUACAAGUCGAGCAGGGUCGAAAGACGGACUUAGUGAUCCGGUGGUUCCGCAUGGAAGGGCCAUCGCUCAACGGAUAAAAGCUACCCCGGGGAUAACA